CACCCUUAACGACCUUGUUCCAGCACCAGCGAAUGUGGCUGUUCUCUGGGGUCUGCUGGGACCAGGUGGCUUCAACAAUCUCUACCAAAUGUCUUUCCCAGCAGUGGAACUGCUUUUCCCUGUGUAGCCCGAGGACCUACCGGACUCCACUCUGUUCCUGGGGAUUCGCCCUUCCGGCCAGAGCACCGCCAGGUCUGGCCUCCACCCAACUGCUGAUUUUGUUGACUAACAGCAGCCUCAGGCCCAUCACCAGACCACUGGCUAAAGACCCAUAGAGGCAGCAGCUUCCUAUAGACUUCUCUACCAACUCACCGUUCUCAGUUUGACUUCAAUGGUUUCAGUUGCUGGCUUCUCAGAUGGACUGAUUAUAAAAGAUUCCCAGAAGAAUAAAGCAUGUGCAGCCUACACACCAGAAAUGGUUCACAAAUAGAAGAAAUUUAAGAUAAUGAUGCCAGCUCUAUCUUCAAAAGAGAUCACGAUGACAAUAGUCAGCUUCUCCUGCCGGUGUGAACAACAUAUCUUUGCAAUCCCUCCUAAAUAAAAAAUAAAACCUGGUCACAGAAGACACAUCUGUGCUAGGGACACGUCUCUUUGGAAUCACUUAUUUUUCAGUUGUGUUAGAUCAUAAUACCCUUGAAUUCCUUGUGAUCUUUAUGUCUCCUAAUUUCUCAAUAAUAGUAAAAAAAAAAAAGUUAAUGUACCUUGUCAAACUUUAGGAUUUGAAGAUACUUUUGACUGUGUCCUCCGUAGUCCAGCAGAGGGAGCAGUGUGUCACCCAGAAAAGCCUCAAGGGCCUACACCCCUGACAUUGGACUCUUGAGGUAGACAGAUGUACAAAUAUCAAUGUGAGGUUUUCCCUGACAGAAACAGAGCAGAGACUCAAACAAAAAUGCUAGUGAAAGUGGAAAGAAUAGUCACUGUGUGGUAGAAUUUGAGAGAUUGGCCCAAACAUACUCCAAUCUGAAAUCUCUUUCAUAAUCGAUUCUUUCUACUGAUGCAUUAAAGAUUUAUCUGAAAAAAAAAAAAAAA